rnacentral:lncRNA from 1 species
CCUGAUUAACGUUAGCUACUGUCUCAUGCCAUCUCAGAAUUAUCCUAAUCUUCUUAGUUUAUUUCCUUACGUUUCUAAUCUGUAAAAGUGUAAAAAUAAUAACAUUUAAAUUCCUGAGUUGUCAUAGGUAUGCAUUCCUUACAUUUUGACCAAAUGAAUAUAUAUUAAAACAAGUAAGGAUGGUACUCAGUAGAACACUUAUCUUCAUACUGAUUGUUUGUAGUGCACAGCGUGGAUGACAACUGGACUGUAGUUCCUGAAAAUGUAUUUGUUUUCAAUCAAAUUAUUUUUUGUACUUAUAAAUGAUAAAUAUAUUAUAUCUCAAUAGUAAAUAAUUUUUUUUUGGUAAAAUACAAUAGUAAAUAAUUGACAGUAAUAGUAUAUUAUCUUUCAUUCAAUACGCACCCGUGAUAGUUUAUAUACAUCGAUCAAUGUUUAAUGAUACAGAUUUUUUCAUUUGUAGAAAUAUUUGUGAACUCCCGUUGCAAACCUCACAAUAAAAACAAAAUAAAGUAAGAAUAUAUUUUGUAAAAAUAAAAAUAGAAGAAAUUACAAUGAAGAUAAGAAAUAUUUUUGUUUUCGAGAAUAUGAAAAUAUAUCUUUUGAUAAAAUAUUAUUAUUUAUUAUAAAUACUUUUGGUUUUGUCAACUAUAAAUACUUAUUUAAUUUUUUUUAUUGUAAGAGGAUCUACAACUUUAACAAACGGGAGUUUAUUUAAUUGUAUACCUUUUGAAUGUUUGUUUCAGACAAACUCAACACCAUGUUUGUACGGCUUAAACUUUAAAGAAAUUAUUUACUUAUAAAUUAAUAACAACCAAUCAAAACAAGAAACUGCAGAUUUUGGUAAUUUUGAUCUAUAUUAUAAUAAACCAAAUAUCUAAUUUGUAUAACUUGAAUAAACUUGAUUCACAAAAUAUAUAUGAUUUGAAAAUAUAUUUAUAUAUAUAUAUGAUUUGAUUAAACUCACGGCAAAUAUUCUCUAACAACAUUGAAUUGGAAUAUCCUAAACCCAUGACCUUUUCUUUUGCUAUAUAUACAGCAUUUUAACCUCACGGCAAACACACAGAUUUCAAAACGUUUCACAAAAUCACACAUAAUGUCUUCUAAGAAAAAGAUGGUGUACCUUGAUGAGAGAUUAGGCCAUGGAAAACAAUUUGGUUGAUUGAAGCCAAAGUCACAUCAAAUAAAAAGCAAAAAUUUAAUCAAAUAAACUAUUUUUUCCGAAGUUGCUUAAAUAACAAUAACCAAUAUAUUAAAUCAUAAAUACCUGGUCGAGUUUUAUAUUUUCAUCUUUAAAAUAUCAAUAACAACCAAUCAAAACAAGAAGCCACAAAAUUUGGUAACUUAAAACUCUAUCAUGGAAUAAAAUUUUACAUAAUAAAUACACAUAAUUAAUAUCCUCACGGGAUUAACCACUGUGCAAUAUAUUCGACAAAAUUAUUGAAUUUUCAAAGUUUUUUUCAAAUCAAUAACCCAAAAUAUAAACCACUAAAUCAAAAGCUAAAAAUUUGGCAAAAAAAACUAGAUUUUCGGAAUACAUAACCAUAUCGAAUAAUCAUAAAUACCAAUCUUUUUCAAAUCAAUAACCAUAAGUAACUUUACCAUUAAAUAAAAAGCUUUCAUUUAAGCAAUUAACAAAAUUUUCGGAAGCUGCUUAAAUAUCAAUAACGAAUAUACAAAAUCAUAAAUAACUGGUCAAUCUUUAUAUUUUCAUAUCUUUAAAAUAUUAAUAACAACCAAUCAAAACAAGAAACUGCAGAUUUUGGUAAUUUUGAUCUAUAUUAUAAUAAACCAAAUAUCUAAUUUGUAUAACUUGAAUAAACUUGAUUCACAAAAUAUAUAUGAUUUGAAAAUAUAUUUAUAUAUAUAUAUGAUUUGAUUAAACUCACGGCAAAUAUUCUCUAACAACAUUGAAUUGGAAUAUCCUAAACCCAUGACCUUUUCUUUUGCUAUAUAUACAGCAUUUUAACCUCACGGCAAACACACAGAUUUCAAAACGUUUCACAAAAUCACACAUAAUGUCUUCUAAGAAAAAGAUGGUGUACCUUGAUGAGAGAUUAGGCCAUGGAAAACAAUUUGGUUGAUUGAAGCCAAAGUCAUACACACCUGAAAACCAUACAAUGUCGGGUUUGGUGAGACUUUAGAGAUCAUAUUUGCAGACAAAAAAGUAAAUGAAGCGACAUUUUGAAUUGAGUAGUAAUAUAUUACCUGAUUAACGUUAGCUACUGUCUCAUGCCAUCUCAGAAUUAUCCUAAUCUUCUUAGUUUAUUUCCUUACGUUUCUAAUCUGUAAAAGUGUAAAAAUAAUAACAUUUAAAUUCCUGAGUUGUCAUAGGUAUGCAUUCCUUACAUUUUGACCAAAUGAAUAUAUAUUAAAACAAGUAAGGAUGGUACUCAGUAGAACACUUAUCUUCAUACUGAUUGUUUGUAGUGCACAGCGUGGAUGACAACUGGACUGUAGUUCCUGAAAAUGUAUUUGUUUUCAAUCAAAUUAUUUUUUGUACUUAUAAAUGAUAAAUAUAUUAUAUCUCAAUAGUAAAUAAUUUUUUUUUGGUAAAAUACAAUAGUAAAUAAUUGACAGUAAUAGUAUAUUAUCUUUCAUUCAAUACGCACCCG